GCCUGGGGAGUACGGCCGCAAGGCUAAAACUCAAAGGAAUUGACGGGGACCCGCACAAGCGGCGGAGCAUGCGGAUUAAUUCGAUGCAACGCGAAGAACCUUACCAAGGCUUGACAUACAUCAGAACACCGUAGAAAUACGGGACUCUUUGGACACUGGUGAACAGGUGGUGCAUGGUUGUCGUCAGCUCGUGUCGUGAGAUGUUGGGUUAAGUCCCGCAACGAGCGCAACCCUCGUUCUAUGUUGCCAGCACGUAAUGGUGGGAACUCAUGGGAUACUGCCGGGGUCAACUCGGAGGAAGGUGGGGAUGACGUCAAAUCAUCAUGCCCCUUAUGUCUUGGGCUUCACGCAUGCUACAAUGGCCGGUACAAAGGGCUGCAAUACCGUGAGGUGGAGCGAAUCCCAAAAAGCCGGUCCCAGUUCGGAUUGAGGUCUGCAACUCGACCUCAUGAAGUCGGAGUCGCUAGUAAUCGCAGAUCAGCAACGCUGCGGUGAAUA
rnacentral:rRNA from 1 species